CCGGCACAUUGGAGCCUGAGAUCGAAAAUGCGGCUCUUCAUCUGUGAAGACAAGUUAUCAAAAACACCCUGCAAGGAUCACUGAAUCUUGGGUGCACGUGAGUCCUGAAAGUUCAGGCAGAGACAAGGAUCCCUGAGCUCCAGAGCCUUGUUAACUGGGUCUUUGCUUCAUGCUGAGGAAGGAGGAAGGGUAAAUAAGCAAGGAGACCAGGCCUCGCUGACUCAGAUCAUUCACCCCAACGCUGAUUUGCAAUUUCAAGGAGCUUCCACAGAAGGACCAAGGCUCGGGAAAGACUGCUGGACCUUCUGCAUUUGUUGACAAUGUGACAUAAAAGAAAGAGAAAACCUUCUGUCCCCUGAAAGGUCAUGUUCCUAUCUUCCCUCUUUGUCACUUCGUCUUUGAGACACAGAUCCAGUUGGACAAGGUUUUAACCUCUGCACUAAAAACACCUUCCAAAUCAGUGACAUUUCUGCUACAAACCCACUGGGCAGGGAUGGUAACUUGGUUCACUGCCAGGAUAAAGCUUAAGAUUCAGUAAAUAUUUAACGUUGACAACAGCAUCACUUCCUUGAACUCUGACCUUUCAUUCAGCUAGCUUCCUGUAGAAGGUGAACAGAACCAGAGGAGGCAGACCUGUUUUGGUGCUGGUGAGUACACAGGAGCUAGGAGAAUAAGCCACAAGAAAGCAGGGACAGAUUGGUCUACAGAAACGUGCAAAUGGCUUGUCAAUGUGUUUUAAUGAACUUCAUCUUUCGUGCAUCUGGACAGGUUCACUCAUGUGACUGGCAUGAUCCCUAUAGUGAAUUGAGCCAUAGGGGCACAGUGACUUCCCUCUGUCAACUCCUCUCAGUUAUUCUAUUUCUAUGGGAUUCUGCAUACAAGAAAGAAAAUGGGCACGCAACUCAAGGGAACAGAAAACAGAACUGGA